rnacentral:rRNA from 1 species
AGAGUUUGAUCAUGGCUCAGAAUCAACGCUGGCGGCGUGCCUAAUACAUGCAAGUCGAACGCGAAAGUGGAGCAAUCCAUGAGUAGAGUGGCAAACGGGUGAGUAACGCGUGGGUGACCUGCCUUCGAGUGGGGGAUAACGUUCCGAAAGGGACGCUAAUACCGCAUGAUAUCCUGCUUUUUAACAGGCGGAGAUCAAAGCCGGGGAUCGCAAGACCUGGCGCUUGAAGAGGGGCCCGCGUCCGAUUAGCUAGUUGGUGGGGUAACGGCUCACCAAGGCAACGAUCGGUAGCCGGCCUGAGAGGGCGGACGGCCACACUGGGACUGAGACACGGCCCAGACUCCUACGGGAGGCAGCAGUAGGGAAUUGUUCGCAAUGGGCGCAAGCCUGACGACGCAACGCCGCGUGGAGGAUGAAGAUCUUCGGGUCGUAAACUCCUUUCGAUCGAGACGAAUGGCUUCCGGGUGAACAAUCCGGAGGAAUGACGGUACCGAGAGAAG